GACGAACGCUGGCGGCGUGCCUAAUACAUGCAAGUCGAGCGAACAGACGAGGAGCUUGCUGCGUUCACGUUAGCGGCGGACGGGUGAGAAACACGUGGAUAACCUACUUAUCAGUCUGGGAUAAUCUCGGGAAACCGGCUCUAAUACCGGAUAAUAUAUUGCACCGCAUGGUGCAUUAGUGAAAGACGGCUUUGCUGGCACUUAUAGAUGGAUACGCGCCGCAUGAGGUAGUUGGUAGGGUAACGGCCUAUCAAGGCAACGAUGCGUAGCCGACCUGAGAGGGUGAUCGGCCGCAUGAGAGGGUGAACACGGACAAGGCGCCUACGAGACGGCGCAGUAGGGAAUGUGCGGCAAUGGUCGGAAGCAUGGCGGAACAGGGCGGAGUGAGAGAUAGAGGUCUUCCGAUCGUAAUGCUCUGUUAUUAGGGAUAAACAGAUGUGGCAGUAACUGAGCACGUAGUGACGGUAACUAGUAAGAAAGCCACGGCUAACUACGUG
rnacentral:rRNA from 1 species